rnacentral:rRNA from 1 species
UUUUUUGCCACCGAAUACAUUAGCAUGGGAUAAUGGAAUAGGACCCUGUCCUCCUAUUUUCAGUUGGUUUUGGCAGCGCGAGGAUAGGGUAAUGAUUAAUAGGGAUAGUUGGGGGCAUUAAUAUUUAAUUGUCAGAGGUGAAAUUCUUGGAUUUAUGAAAGAUUAACUUCUGCGAAAGCAUCUGCCAAGGAUGUUUUCAUUAAUCAAGAACGAAAGUUAGGGGAUCGAAGACGAUCAGAUACCGUCGUAGUCUUAACCAUAAACGAUGCCGACCAGCGAUUAGGAGACGUUGAAUACAAAACACCACCAUCGGUGCGGUCGUCCUUGGCGCG